rnacentral:rRNA from 1 species
GACGAACGCUGGCGGCGUGCUUAACACAUGCAAGUCGAACGGAACACCCUUGACAGAGGUUUCGGCCAAUGAAGAGGAAUGUUUAGUGGCGGACUGGUGAGUAACGCGUGAGGAACCUGCCUUUCAGAGGGGGACAACAGUUGGAAACGACUGCUAAUACCGCAUGAUACAUUUGAGGGACAUCCCUUGAAUGUCAAAGAUUUAUCGCUGAAAGAUGGCCUCGCGUCUGAUUAGCUAGUUGGUGGGGUAACGGCCCACCAAGGCGACGAUCAGUAGCCGGACUGAGAGGUUGACCGGCCACAUUGGGACUGAGAUACGGCCCAGACUCCUACGGGAGGCAGCAGUGGGGAAUAUUGGGCAAUGGACGAAAGUCUGACCCAGCAACGCCGCGUGAAGGAAGAAGGCUUUCGGGUUGUAAACUUCUUUUAACAGGGAAGAGUAGAAGACGGUACCUGUUGAAUAA